rnacentral:rRNA from 1 species
AGGGGGCAAGCGUUGUUCGGAAUUACUGGGCGUAAAGGGCGCGUAGGCGGCCGAUCAAGUCAGGCGUGAAAUUCCCGGGCUCAACCUGGGGGCUGCGCUUGAUACUGAUUGGCUUGAAUGCGGGAGAGGAUAGUGGAAUUCCCAGUGUAGAGGUGAAAUUCGUAGAUAUUGGGAAGAACACCAGUGGCGAAGGCGGCUAUCUGGCCCGUUAUUGACGCUGAGGCGCGAAAGCGUGGGGAGCAAACAGG